GAGGAUCAAAGGGGCUUUGUGGCCUCGGAACAAGGAGCCUCCCAGAGCUUGGGGCAGAGAGGUAGGAGGGCUCAGGACGGCCUGUGGAGGGAGGCUUGGUGGGGAAUUGCUCCGAGGGGCAGGGCGAGGGGACCAGGAGGCAGGGAGAGGCUCACCGGCUGCAGGCAACAGCAGCAGGGUAAGCCAGGGGAUGAGAGGAAAAUGACAGGGUAUCCGCAGAUCCGCUGUUACAUAGGGAAGUACAGUAAGAACCUUGGAGCCAUGCAGCUAGCCUUUAACCUGUCUUUGCCCAAGUCUGUGCCAAUCCAGAAUCACAAACACCCUCUUUCCAGCCAGGAUGGUCUUCCGUUGAUCCUGCACAUAGUACCCCGGCCUGGCACUACCCCAACCCGGACAGAUAACAGGCAUGCACCUUGGUCUUCCGGCAGCCUCCUAUGUUUUGGUAGGGCCCCGCCCUCUCCCAAUGCCCUGAUCCCCAUAGGCUUCUGGGCAGCUGAGACAGCUCGACCAACUUGCUUAAGUGGGCUCUGCUGGCUGCAACCAAAGGAGGGAGAAGCAAGAGAGGAAGCAAGAACCUAGGGCUGGGCUGGGGUUAGCUCACCCUGACUCUGUGCUCUGGAGCCUCAGGGACUCGGGCUGUGUUCUGGCGCCUGCUUCUUCCCACUGUUCCUGAUUCUCCUCCGUGGGGGCUGGGCAGUGAGUCAGUAGUCUCCUCCUCCCACUCCCUGCAGGCCCUGUGAUGUUCUGGGACCCUGAGAGUGAUGAACCAGGGGGUCCAAAGGAUAGGAGUUGAUACUUCUGGGGCUGGGCCUGGAUGCUGGGAUCUGCCAGACCCUAUAACCUCUGACCUGGAAUGACUCACUCCCAGGCUCA
rnacentral:lncRNA from 1 species